CUUUCUACAAACUUAGCUACAGGAGUAGCUAAUAGGAGUACCCUCUACAACAGCUACAGGAGUAGCUAAUAGGAGUAACAGGAGCAGGAGUACUUUCUACAAACUUAGCUACAGGAGUAGCUAAUAGGAGUACCCUCUACAACAGUUACAGGAGUAGCUAAUAGGAGUAUCCUCUACAACAGCUAUAGGAGUAGCUAUCUGGAGUUAGUAUUUCUUACAACACAGCUACAGGAGUAGUUCUACAACCACAGCUACAGGAGUAGUUCUACAACCACAAUUACAGGAGUAGUUCUACAACCACAGCUACAGGAGUAGCUACCAGGAGGAGUUAAACUGAUGGAAAAAUCAAGACGACCUGGAAAAUGUUUUUUGACCUUGCUCUGUAAUACAAUAAUUUCAGACUAGUGUCAUGCAUUUUCAUGAUCAUAAAAUGAUCCGGUCUUAAAGCAAAAAUUAUCAAGAUUUGAUCUCAACCUACCAUCAGAGGUGAGAUUCAAACA